UUACCCAACCCAACCUAACCAAACUUGGGGGCCAAAUGCCACCUUAGAGACAUGUUCUUUUUUCUAUAUAUAAGAAAUAAUUUCAUUGAUUGAAUGAAACAGGAACUCAAUCAAAUAGUAUACGUAUACAAAAGGGGCCCAAUCAAGGGAUAUACAAAAGGUGUUUCGAAUUUGCAAGGAAGGAAGAACUAUGACUAUCUUCGAAAGGUGGAUAGAUGAUCAACAAUCUGGGCUAACUCUGGGUCCCUUGGAGAAGCAACAAACCAAUUGAAGGCAGAAAAAACCUCUGACCAGAUACCUCUAGGAGUGGGGCAAUCAAAGAAAACAUGCUGGACAGUAACAUUGUUGGGUCAUUUAUUUUAUUCUUAUGGAAAAGAUGAAUUUGGGAAUGUUAUUAAACUUGAGAAUUUUACUCCUCGUCAUGCCAAGAGUAGACAAUACAGAACUUCAAUUAUUUCUCUGAUUCCCAGAUUUCCAUCAAAACCAUGUAUUCACUAUUUUCCUUUUUAAGGUAUCGUUCAAUGCAGAUUCAUGCUGCCA